rnacentral:rRNA from 1 species
UACGGAGGGUGCGAGCGUUGUCCGGAAUCAUUGGGCGUAAAGGGCGCGUAGGUGGCUUCUUAAGCGUGCGGUGAAAGCCUGGGGCUCAACCCCGGGUCGGCCGUGCGAACUGGGGGGCUGGAGCACUGUAGAGGCAGGCGGAAUUCCGGGUGUAGCGGUGGAAUGCGUAGAGAUCCGGAAGAACACCUGUGGCGAAAGCGGCUCACUGGACCACAACUGACGCUGAGAGACGAAAGCUAGGGGAGCGAAUGGG